rnacentral:lncRNA from 1 species
UGCCGCGCCCCAACGGCUGCCGCGCACCGCGCAUGCGUGGGGCUGCCCGCCCCCCCCCCGCUGGGGCACCAUGGGAGCGCCCGGGGCAUCAUGGGAGCAUCCAGAGCAUCAUGGGAGCGCCCGGGGCAUCAUGGGAGUGCCUGGAGCAUCAUGGGAGCAUCCAGAGCAUCAUGGGAGCGCCCGGGGCAUCAUGGGAGUGCCCAGGGCCUCAUGGGAGUGACAUGGGGCAUCAUGGGAGCACCCAGGGCAUCAUGGGAGUGAGGUGGGGCAUCAUGGGAUGCUCCCACUUGGCAUGCCCCACCCUGGGGCUGAUGGGAGCUGCUGCCCCAGAGGCUCAUGGGAGCCACUGCCCCGCAGGUGAUGCCGCGUGGAUGGAGGCCCCCCGCGGGGACCAGGCUGAGCUGAUGACCCCCGACCCCAGGGCGCCCGGACGCCUGGACCCCCCCGCGGCCACGCCCCCAGGGGAGCCGGCCCCCAAGCAGGCCGUGUCGGAGGCGCUGGCGGCCGCCCGGCUCCAGGCCCUCGGCCUCCACCACGACCACGGCUACAGCGG